GCCUGGCUGGCUCAGUCGGUAGAGCAUCUGACUCUUAAUUUUAGGGUUCUGAGUUCAAGCCCCACACCGGGCA
rnacentral:tRNA from 1 species